ensembl:lncRNA
AUGGAGAUGGAUGUGGAGGGAGUUUCUCCGCGCCCGGAGCCCAUCCCCCGCUCCCAGGGGGCUGGAGGAGCCUGCCAGGCGCCGUCACAGCCGCCCCAGCCCCAACCCCAGCCCCCGCUGCUGCCUCCGCAGCAUCCGGCUCCGGAUGAACCGCCCGGCGAGAGUGCCGGCGCAGAGGACAGCGACGAUCCCGAGGCGAGACCCAGCGGCGACAAGGGCGAGAGCAAGGUUUUGAACUUGGCUAAUGAGCAUCCCUGUCUUCGUGAAGCUGUGAUUUUCCUGGCUCUUGCUGGAAAGGCGAUGAAGAUUUAUGAAGGGGCUUGGUGGGAAAUAGAUUGCAUUUCUUCUUCCCCUCUGCUUGUUUUUCCCUCCUCUCCUGUCCUCCAGCCCCGAGAAGUCUCAGCUUUCAUGGCCAGCAUAGAGUACGGGGGAAACAGGAAAGCGCCGAUGUGUCUUGACCUAGUUUGUGGUGACUGUAUGAUGACAAAUAGGCAGCUGAGAGCGGAUGAAGUAGCGCUGGAUUCCACGCUGAGGAGCGUGUACGGAGGAGCAGAGAGUGCAUUUGCUUGGGUGGCCCUGAUUCUUACUUGCCGAAUAUGUUGACUUCAGAUCUUUAGAAAAAUAUGGGGCAGUCCAAGUUAUUGCUCCCACUGAAGGAGCUGCCUUGAGGACUGGGAGCAAAGGUCUUAGGAACCUGGAUAAAGGGAGGAGCUUCCUUUGGACGCCGUCCCCAGGGUGGCGGCCACCUCUGUACAGGCCAUGCCCUACACCUGUGCCUGUUAGAAACCUGGCUUGCAAGUCUUGGAAAAUCACAGAGUUUUUUGCAUUUAUAUAAUUUUUGUUUUUUAAGAAUUUCACUAAUUGGGAAACAGAGUGGCAGCAAAGAGCUUGUCAAAUAGAUACUUGACAGAAACUCAAAUGGAACAGAUGCUCACCUUUACCUUUACACCAGAGCAAAUAGAAAGAUCCACCCACCAGGGCUUUUGAGAUGCUCAGUUUUUCUGUUGCUGCAAGGUUGUUUGAAGUGCUAGGUAUCAGAGCAAUAUAUUACAUUGAUAAUCUGUUUAAACUAAGAGGGUCAUUUAUGAACAGAUUUGCAUUCCAGUUCUAUAAAUGUUCCAAAAGAAUGUUUCUCUUCCUUCAAUCCUUCAUGCUUGUCUACUUGUCUGUCUUUCUUCCUAAAAUAUCAAACCGCUCAGCUGGUCCUGGGAGGCAGAAAAGGAAGGUGAUUUUGAGAAUAGAUGACUCGGUUCUUAUCCUCAAAGACCUUACACUCUAAGUUUACAUUGUUGUUCAGACAGCAGAGUUUAAGGGAAAAAAAAAAAAGAUUUAUUGAGGGUGUUAGGUAGCUGACAAGGUCUUAGGAAAGCCCCGGGAACCCCAUUCGGAUGCCCCAUAGCCAAGUGUGAGAGCUGGAAGGGGUGGGAACCCAUCCAUAGCCUUGCUCAUGACAUCAGCCAAGACCUCUGCCGUCAUUGCCACUGGAGAGAACCCCGAUGCCAGGCUGGGAAUGCCCUUCUCCUCAAGAGCAUCAGUGGUCUUGUGUUGCUUUCUUCAUUCCAAAGGUUUGCAGAGUGCAUUUUCUUGGUGAAGUCUAAUCCAC